rnacentral:rRNA from 1 species
AACGAACGCUGGCGGCAUGCCUAACACAUGCAAGUCGAACGAGACCUUCGGGUCUAGUGGCGCACGGGUGCGUAACGCGUGGGAACCUGCCCUUAGGUUCGGAAUAACUCCCCGAAAGGGGUGCUAAUACCGGAUAAUGUCUUCGGACCAAAGAUUUAUCGCCUUUGGAUGGGCCCGCGUUGGAUUAGCUAGUUGGUAGGGUAAAAGCCUACCAAGGCGACGAUCCAUAGCUGGUCUGAGAGGAUGAUCAGCCACACUGGGACUGAGACACGGCCCAGACUCCUACGGGAGGAAGCAGUGGGGAAUAUUGGACAAUGGGCGAAAGACUGAGCCAGCAAUGCCGCGUGAGUGAUGAAGGCCUUAGGGUUGUAAAGCUCUUUUAACCGGGAUGAUAAUGACAGUACCGGGAGAAUAAGCGCCGGCUAACUCCGUG